AGAGACGGGUGAUUUGAAAUGCGCAGCGUGCCCACCUCGGUGGCACUGCAGUGUGGCCUCACGCUACUCACGGCCAGGUUCAGAGUGGCCUCGGCACCAAGAACGGAAUCACAGCAACCCUGAGAUGAUCAAGACUUUAUCAUGACAACAGGUACACAAACUCUUCAGGAGGAGCAUUCCCUGGUCCAAGAGGUCAAGCUGAUUUUAAUGAAGAAGGAUGGAUCCACUUUCAAGUCAAGAUUCAUCUAAUAUUCUAAGACUAAGAGUGCUUAUAUAGAAAGUCCAGGAUGUACUUAUGACUGAGUCUGGAUGUUGAGUAACAGAAUAGAUUCUUUGUGCAAGAACAUAUGCAACACUUGAUAUCUAAUACCUAAAGCUGAGUAAUGGUGACACAAAGUGUGUUAAACAUUUGUUCUGAGAAUAAAGCAGAAGAUGAAAAAUG